UGAUGCAGUCGAGCGGCGCGCGGGGGCAACCCUGGCGGCGAGCGGCGAACGGGUGAGUAAUGCAUCGGAACGUGUCCUCUUGUGGGGGAUAACCAGUCGAAAGUCUGGCUAAUACCGCAUGAGAUCGAAAGAUGAAAGCAGGGGACCCGGAAGGGCCUUGCGCGAGAGGAGCGGCCGAUGCCGGAUUAGCUAGUUGGCGGGGUAACGGCCCACCAAGGCGACGAUCCGUAGCUGGUCUGAGAGGACGACCAGCCACACUGGGACUGAGACACGGCCCAGACUCCUACGGGAGGCAGCAGUGGGGAAUUUAGGACAAUGGGCGAAAGCCUGAUCCAGCCAUGCCGCGUGUGUGAAGAAGGCCUUGGGGUUGUAAAGCACUUUCGGACGGAACGAAAUCGCGCGGGUGAAUAUCCCGCGUGGAUGACGGUACCGUAAGAAGAAGCACCGGCUAACUACGUGCCAGCAGCCGCGGUAAUACGUAGGGUGCGAGCGUUAAUCGGAAUUACUGGGCGUAAAGUGUGCGCAGGCGGCGUCGCAAGUCGAGUGUGAAAGCCCCGGGCUUAACUUGGGAAUUGCGCUCGAAACUACGGUGCUGGAGUGUGGCAGAGGAAGGUGGAAUUCCACGU
rnacentral:rRNA from 1 species